rnacentral:rRNA from 1 species
AUUGAACGCUAGCGGGAUGCUUUACACAUGCAAGUCGAACGAGUGGCGCACGGGUGAGUAAUAUAUCUGAACGUGCCCAGUAGCCGGGGAUAACUACUCGAAAGAGUGGCUAAUCCCGCAUACUAUUGGAGCGGCCGCUAUCGGAUUAGCUAUUUGGGGGGGUAAAGGGUCACCAAGGCAACGAUCCGUACCUGGUUUGAGAGGACGACCAGCCACACUGGGACGGAGACACGGCCCAGACUCCUACGGGAGGCAGCAGUGGGGAAUGGUGGACAAUGGGGGAAACCCUGAUCCAGCCAUCCCGCGUGUAUGAGAAGGCCUUCGGGUUGUAAAGUACUUUUGGCAGAGAAGCGGUAUCUGCAGAAUAAGCACCGGCUAACUACGUGCCAGCAGCCGCGGUAAUUC